GCAACGCCGCGUGCGGGAUGACGGCCUUCGGGUUGUAAACCGCUUUCACCCAUGACGAAGCGCGAGUGACGGUAGUGGGGGAAGAAGCACCGGCCAACUACGUGCCAGCAGCCGCGGUGAUACGUAGGGUGCGAGCGUUGUCCGGAAUUAUUGGGCGUAAAGAGCUUGUAGGCGGUUGAUCGCGUCGAUAGUGAAAUCCCGGGGCUCAACCUCGGGCUUGCUGUCGAUACGGGUUGACUUGAGGAAGGUAGGGGAGAAUGGAACUCCCGGUGGAGCGGUGGAAUGCGCAGAUAUCGGGAAGAACACCGGUGGCGAAGGCGGUUCUCUGGACCUUUCCUGACGCUGAGAAGCGAAAGCGUGGGGAGCAAACAGGCUUAGAUACCCUGGUAGUCCACGCUGUAAACGGUGGGUACUAGGUGUGGGUCGCAUUCCACGUGAUCCGUGCCGUAGCCAACGCAUUAAGUACCCCGCCUGGGGAGUACGGCCGCAAGGCUAAAACUCAAAGGAAUUGACGGGGCCCCGCACAAGCGGCGGAGCAUGCGGAUUAAUUCGAUGCAACGCGAAGAACCUUACCUGGGUUUGACAUGUACUGGAAGCGCUCAGAGAUGGGCGUGCCUUUUCGGCCGGUUCACA
rnacentral:rRNA from 1 species